UUUAGGAACAGAAAGCCAGGAAGUGCUGCAAUUCAUUAUUUUUGUCUUUGGCAUGAGAUUUGGGACACACAGGUUUGCCUAAUGGAUUGAUGGGGCCAGAGGAGAUAACAGUCUUUAUACCUGAACUCCUGACUAACAGAACGGGGAUAAAGAGCAGCUAAGCAGAUCUGCCUGUGUAGCCACUGACAUCCAGAAAAAGACCCAAAGAUAGACCUGAUAUUCAUGAGCAUGGGAGUAGACGCAGAUAAAUCGAUCCCCGAACGCGCUCCCCGUCGACUCUGGAACUCCAGCUUGCGAGAGGCGGAAGCGGAGUCGACUCGCCGCUGUCCUCACAGCCAGGAUGGGCAAACAGCUGUGACCCUGCUCCUUCCCACUAUGGCCUUUGAUCAUUGUAGCCACUGACUUUGCUGAAGACUACAAGAGAACAGGAGAGAUGUGGCCUCCAUGUUAUGGCACUCAGAGUCCCCCUCCCCCAUUUCCUGCAGGGAAGGACCCUUUGAAAUGGCAAACAGAAGAGAACUUUGUUUAAAGCAGACUCAUACUUUAAGAUUCACCAUGACUCACUGGUUUAUAAUUUUUAAAACACACUUGGUAAUUCUGCAUUUCAUUCUUCUGAAUAUUGCCUCUAGAUAUCACAGUGCUAUUCUCUUUGCUAGCUGCAUAGAUUCAGGAGCCAAAAGCUUUGCAAAACAUGAUACAAAGAGGUAUUGAAUUUUCUUACACAACAUGUAAGCCUUAACUUACUGAACUAAUGCAAUAUUGAUCCUAGCAGAACUAGAUUAAAUAGAGCUUCUUAUUCUCCUAUAUAAAUACCUACCAUACUUUGAGGGCUUUUUUCCCAUUUAAGUCUUGCAGACUUCUGAAUGAGAAUAAAUUACUUAAUAAUGUAUAAAGAGUCACCACACCAAAUAAUGUACUGUGGAGAAAACAGCUUGAACAAUAAUCCAAAGAGACAAUAUCAUUGCUUAUUUAGAUGGAAUGUGUCUCUAUUUCUUGUAGUGUCCUGCUAAUCCUUCCCAUUCAGGAGAGAGCGAACAAAUUCUCACUUAUGAUGUAUGUGGCAAAGGAAUACAUAAAUUUCAACACAGAGAAUGCUCUCCCAAAAUCCAGACAGAAGAAUGCAUCUGAAUUCUGGACCGCUGAUGCUAGAAUGAUAGCCUGCUGGAGACUAGGCCUAGAAAUCUGUUGGUAGCCUCCAGCAAUAAGGAUUUGUGUAAUUUUGUUAGCACCCCACACGAGGCUCUCGUCCAAAUGUGUGUCACUUGGGGUAUGUCUACACUUUGAGCUGGUGGUGUUAUUCCCAGCUCCAAGGCACAUACUCUGAUCAAGCUAGGGCACAAAAAUAGAGUAGCUGUGCCAGCAUGAACAUUAGAAGGGGUUAGCUGCCCCAAGUAUGUACCCGUCCCAGACCAGAGGCAUGUACUCAGGGUGGCUAGCCCCUCCUGUAACACUGCCAUAGCUACAAUCUAAUUUUUAGAGCCCUAGCUCAAUCACAGCUAGUGUGAAUAUGUCUUCUCAAGCUAGGAAUCACAUCCCCAGUCUGAAGGGUAGAUACACCCUUGGAAUUGAUGUAGACUCAUCAGAGGCCAUCUGACAUUGCCAAAAGAGCAGAGGCAUCUGUGCGAGCUCUCCCUGGAUUUAUCCACUUGGUUGUCAGUGCUCUAUCUGUCCCUGAGAUUCCUGCCUCCUUUCUCAGCUAGUCUACAUGGGACUGGUGUGAUCAUAGUGGAAAUGAAUUCAUUAUAUUUAGGCUAAAGGGUUGAAGAGGCAGCAAAAAAUUAUUUUACAGAACCAUCCUAAAAUGCAGACACUAGUUCUGCCCG